CUCCCUAUGUAUGUAAAAAUUAUUUAAAAAAUAAUAAAGAUAUAUACUAUAUAAAGGAGUCGAGGCCUGCAAAUAAUACGUUUGAAAAAUCGAAUUUGCUAAUUCCUCCAUAUAGUAAGAACAGGGUCGUAGAUAUAGCCUCGGGGGCCCUGGGGCAACAAGUAAAUUUGGGGCCCCCUAUACGGAAGUCUUUUGUCAAAUUUUAAAGUACGCUUAGGGUUGUCUAUGUGUGGAACGUUUGAAUUUCCCGCGCGUAUAGUGGUCGCGAACACUGUUCGAUACCUCGAUUGACGCGAAUCAGCUGCUCAAUUGAGGUGCUAUUGACAAAAUAUAGUAUCGGACAAUUGUAUAAUUACAAUGAAGCAAAAAAGAUUUCCGGGAAAUUCGUUAAUUCGUUAUCAUCCACGCCUGCAUCGUCUCUUGAUACGGGAACUGUUAAAGGGCAUGACGAACUUUCACCCAAGCACGCCCAUUCUUUAAUGCUGGCCACAUUGGUUUUAAUCAUCACACAAUAAAACAAUAAAUCAGCAACGAAUUGCGAAGUUAGGAAAACAAAUUCUGACAUGGUGUGGAUAAAAGUAGUCUGCAAUAAACGUCCGUCAACAGUACAUCUUAAUAUCGCUUUCCCUUGGAUAUAGUGCCCGCAAUAACAACUUCAGCAUUAGCACCACAAGCUUGUUAUAAGCGAGCUACACACCACAUUCAGUCGCCUCGGAAACAUAAGCAGCUAUAAGUAACUCCCUCACCGCUAACUCAAGGUCCAGACGACUAAACAACCCAUUCAGGUUACAAGGAACUAGUCGAUCUACAACAAGGUUGAUAACUGGUAGUCAAGCAGUAGACUGUCAGUCACCCAAAACGUCAGCAAUCUGCCGACACAAAUUAGUAUUACAAAUUCGACACACGACUAUUAGGAGAGUGGUAAAGCAGCAUACCCAAUAACAAAUUCAGUAACAAAAUUUAAAAUUGUUUAUAAUAAAUAUCUCUGCCAGUAGUUUGUAUGAUAUCAACGCUGUAUUAAAUAUAUAAUUAAUCUUUUAACGAACAACGGACAUCUGAAGAAAUUUACAAACAUAGUAAAAUAAUUUUUUUGUAAGGUUCUGAUUAUAUUAAACAAUUUUUUAAGACCCUACUUUGAACUACUUUGAAUUUUUAUAAUAGUUACUGGGUCCGUAAUGACCGGGCCAUUGGAUUCAUGCGAUCAGUACUACAAAGAAAACGAUCAUUGCUGUGCUACCAAUUCGGAACCACUUUAAUCAAUGUUAACUAUAAAAGUCAUAUACAUAAGAAUCCUAAAGUAGAGUAUGAACUAAACUAGUCGUUUUUCAUCUUUAUAGUUUGACAUACAAUUAUUUGUUAAGAAAUUAUGAGAUAAAUCGAAACCAAUAUCUGCAAUAAAGAAUUGUGUAAUGCCCUCACCCAAA